rnacentral:rRNA from 1 species
UGAGGAAUAUUGGUCAAUGGGGGCAACCCUGAACCAGCCAAGUCGCGUGAAGGAUGAAGGUCUUAUGGAUUGUAAACUUCUUUUAUACAGGAAUAAAUUGGGGGACGUAUCCCCUUUUGCAUGUACUGUAUGAAUAAGGAUCGGCUAACUCCGUGCCAGCAGCCGCGGUAAUACGGAGGAUCCGAGCGUUAUCCGGAUUUAUUGGGUUUAAAGGGUGCGCAGGCGGGAUGUUAAGUCGGCGGUGAAAUUUUGCAGCUCAACUGUAAAAGUGCCUUCGAUACUGGCUUCCUUGAGUGUAGAUGAAGUAGGCGGAAUUUGUGGUGUAGCGGUGAAAUGCUUAGAUAUCACGAGGAACUCCGAUUGCGCAGGCAGCUUACUAAACUACAACUGACGCUCAUGCACGAAGGCGUGGGGAUCAAACA